GAGGGAAAGGCGAAAAGAACCCCGGCGAGGGGAGUGAAAAAGAACCUGAAACCGUGUACGUACAAGCAGUGGGAGCCUCUUAAUGGGGUGACUGCGUACCUUUUGUAUAAUGGGUCAGCGACUUAUAUUCUGUAGCAAGGUUAACCGAAUAGGGGAGCCGAAGGGAAACCGAGUCUUAACUGGGCGUUAAGUUGCAGGGUAUAGACCCGAAACCCGGUGAUCUAGCCAUGGGCAGGUUGAAGGUUGGGUAACACUAACUGGAGGACCGAACCGACUAAUGUUGAAAAAUUAGCGGAUGACUUGUGGCUGGGGGUGAAAGGCCAAUCAAACCGGGAGAUAGCUGGUUCUCCCCGAAAGCUAUUUAGGUAGCGCCUCGUGAAUUCAUCUCCGGGGGUAGAGCACUGUUUCGGCAAGGGGGUCAUCCCGACUUACCAACCCGAUGCAAACUGCGAAUACCGGAGAAUGUUAUCACGGGAGACACACGGCGGGUGCUAACGUCCGUCGUGAAGAGGGAAACAACCCAGACCGCCAGCUAAGGUCCCAAAGUCAUGGUUAAGUGGGAAACGAUGUGGGAAGGCCCAGACAGCCAGGAUGUUGGCUUAGAAGCAGCCAUCAUUUAAAGAAAGCGUAAUAGCUCACUGGUCGAGUCGGCCUGCGCGGAAGAUGUAACGGGGCUAAACCAUGCACCGAAGCUGCGGCAGCGACACUAUGUGUUGUUGGGUAGGGGAGCG
rnacentral:rRNA from 1 species